rnacentral:rRNA from 1 species
UUAAGCGUCCAUAGCGCGUUGAAUACACCAGUUCUCGUCCGAUCAUCGAAGUUAAGCUACGUCGAGCGCGGUCAGUACUUGGAUAGGUGACUGCUUUUUUAAUUAGUUUGCCAAAG